AGGCGCGUCCCGCUCGCCGCGAGGGAAGGCCGGGGUUCUUCCAACCGAAGAAAACCAAAACCGUCAACGCUCAGCUCCGAGGCCCGCAGGAGGCUUUAAAAAUGGCCUCCUGACGACACUUCCUGCUCGGCGCGGACGAGCCGUGAUUCUUCCUCAGCAAGACAAAAGGCUUAGGCUGUGAAAAGCAUGAGGGAACUGAGUGAAAUCCAGACUGUCUUCUUCUUACACACGGCACAGCUCCCUCGGAGGGAAGGCAGGAAGAACCACCUGUGAAUUGUCAUUUUUUACCCACUGCCUGGAACACAGUAAGCUCCAAGUCUGCUGUCCAAUGGAGAUAGAGGUCCCGGUGUCUAACGGAAGGGGAGUGUCCAUUGCAACCUUGAAAUAGCGCGUAUCUGUGCAAACAGAAAAAUAUGAAAGUCAUACCUUAUGUGGACUCAGCACAUUACAAUUUACAAAGUAUUUGCACAUCUACAAACUCAUUGGAUCAUUACAAUGUGAUGUGCUGAGCCAUAGGUAGAGCUCAGUACCCAGGACAAAGCAAAGCAAAGCUGCUAGUAUGUGUACUCCAGGAAGUUUCACCAUUGACACAGUAAAGGGAGAGAAGGUGUCUCGGUUCUGGAACUGUACAGCCAGUGAGCUCUGAGCUGGAGCUCGGGCAGGAGAAUCCUUUGGGGAUUUGACAGAUGGGUAUUUGUGCAAAGGUGCCAUUUACAUACUGUUACGGCCAUCACCAAGGCCCUCUAGGGCAUAGCCUCUUGGGGGAAGUCUUGGACCUGCUGGAAGAACUGGGAUGUGAGCCUGAACCCAUUUUCCAACUUUCCACCCAAUACCUUUGCUAGACUUGGUAGAGUCAGGACAUGAUAAGAAGUCUGGGAAGAACAACCAUCACUCCAGGACAAAGAAACAGGAGAAAAGGAAACAGAAUUCAAAUCAAACAGUGACUUGGAGAGUUGUAGUCUCAAAGAAUCUCAAAGCAUGAAGCUGGGUGGAAAAAUAUAUAUCAUCUGCUUGAACCUGCUAAUUUUACAAAUGAGGAAAAUGAGACCCUAUGAAGUGAAAUCAUCUGUCCAAGCUAACCAGAUGCUGAGAGAGAGAAGGUUCCACUGCAGCUUCUGGCUCCAUGUGAGGUGAUCCGGGUCCCUUUUAUUUGGCCUUGACUUCCCUGGUACUCGUUUUCUAAUUAAGCCUCGUUAUGUGCCUUUUAAGUGAAUGCUCGUUUUUUUUUUUUCUUUUUAAUCUUCUUGGGGAGAGAAAAAGAGAAAGACAAAAAAAAGCUGAUCUAAUUUAGAAAACAAGAAAAUAAUCCUGAAUCUUUGAUGCCCAGGUUUCCAGAAAACCCAUAAAAGCUUUUUCCCCCCUCUUCUUUUUGGUUUAAAUUUUGAUUCAGCAAGAGGAAAUAAAUGAACCUAGACAAAGAGAGGCCUUACAUCUCAUUUUUCAUAUGCUUUCUCCUUUUUUUCUCUGUCUUGACUGUCAAGAGAUGUAGCUUUUAAUAGACCAUCAAUGUAUGUAAUGAGCAAAUAAAAUAACAACAGUGAAGUACCCUU